UACGUAGGGUGCAGGCGUUAAUCGGAAUUACUGGGCGUAAAGCGUGCGCAGGCGGUUUGCUAAGACAGGUGUGAAAUCCCCGGGCUUAACCUGGGAACUGCGCUUGUAACUGGCAAGCUUGAGUGUGGCAGAGGGGGGUGGAAUUCCACGUGUAGCAGUGAAAUGCGUAGAGAUGUGGAGGAACACCGACGGCGAAGGCAGCCCCCUGGGCUAACACUGACGCUCAUGCACGAAAGCGUGGGGAGCAAACAGG
rnacentral:rRNA from 1 species